rnacentral:tRNA from 1 species
GGAGAGGUGGCCGAGUGGCUUAAGGCGCACGCUUGGAAAGCGUGUUAACGGUUACCCGUUACGCGGGUUCAAAUCCCGCCCUCUCCG